UUGCACGCUGGCGGCAUGCCUUACACAUGCAAGUCGAACGGCAGCAUGAUCUAGCUUGCUCGAUUGAUGGCGAGUGGCGAACGGGUGAGUAAUACAUCGGAACGUGCCCUGUAGUGGGGGAUAACUAGUCGAAAGAUUAGCUAAUACCGCAUACGACCUGAGGGUGAAAGUGGGGGACCGCAAGGCCUCAUGCUAUAGGAGCGGCCGAUGUCUGAUUAGCUAGUUGGUGAGGUAAAGGCUCACCAAGGCGACGAUCAGUAGCUGGUCUGAGAGGACGAUCAGCCACACUGGGACUGAGACACGGCCCAGACUCCUACGGGAGGCAGCAGUGGGGAAUUUUGGACAAUGGGCGAAAGCCUGAUCCAGCAAUGCCGCGUGUGUGAAGAAGGCCUUCGGGUUGUAAAGCACUUUUGUCCGGAAAGAAAUGGCUCUGGUUAAUACCUGGGGUCGAUGACGGUACCGGAAGAAUAAGGACCGGCUAACUACGUG
rnacentral:rRNA from 1 species